UACGUAGGUGGCAAGCGUUAUCCGGAAUUACUGGGCGUAAAGCGCACGCAGGCGGUUCGCCAAGUUUGGAGUGACAGUUGUCGGCUCAACCGACAAAGGACUUCAAAAACUGGUGAACUUGAGGACGAGAGAGGAACAUGGAACUCCAGGUGUAGUAGUGAGAUGCGUAGAUAUCUGGAAGAACACCAAUGGCGAAGGCAAUGUUCUGGCUCGUUUCUGACGCUCAGGUGCGAAAGCCAGGGGAGCGAACGGG
rnacentral:rRNA from 1 species